rnacentral:lncRNA from 1 species
UUUUCUAAUCACUCUAAACACUCUCAAAUCCUCCCAUAAUCAGCUGCAAAUCUCAAGUUCGAGCAGAUUGUUGCAUCUUCACAAAAUGUUCAAGCAUGAAGCUUGAUGAAUGUAAGGACAAGGUGCUCCAAACUAAUUCAUCUACCAACUUUGCUCUCGGAACUUCAAGUCAAGACUUGUAAACCGUGAGUAUACUCGAUCCCUUUUUCCCCUUUACACUUUGGGAUGCAACAUGUAUACCUAUUCAAAACAACUUUUAUGCUUAAACAAAACGUACUCUAUCUAUGAACGUGACAUGAAACUAUUAUGAAUAUUUGCUAUGCUUGUAUGCUCUAUGAACGAUUUGGAACGUUAUAUGCUCAUUAACUUUGCUAGCUCACCUUAACAAUUAUAGCGCUAUAGGAUUAACGCCCCGCCCGCUAUUCUAAUUGGGUAUUGUUAAGUUAAACAUUACCACCCCGCUGAACGAUUGGGAUUAGGCUAUUUUUGUGCGUUGUAUUCUUGGGUUUGAUCAUAUAGUACGCCAAAAAUUGCAUUGCUAGUAAAUUUAUUCACUAUGUUACAUGUUGGAUAUGAGUUUUUAUUCUAUUAUGCUAUGUAGUCAAACUUGUAUACUCGCCUUUGCUUUUGCAUUGAACUCUAUUUUAAUACAUGUUGCAGGUUAAUUGUUGAAGUAUGGACUAAAGAUGAAACGAGAUUUAGGGUGGACUAGAUACACACCUAGAUUAAUUUAUCUUUUGUUGUUAUGAUCUAUGUUGAAACAAUGUUGUUGUUUUUGUUUGAAUCUUGUUGACUUUAGUAUUGAAAUGAAAUUUGAACUUAAUUAAAUAUUGUCACAUAGUGUUAUGAAGUCUCUAGCAAUCUAUACACACUUCGUCUCAUCCCGAUGUUUCCGCCAUCGGUUGGGGUGUGACAUAUAACAUACCACCACACCUGUAAUGUACCCCCUCUUGAUAUUGUAAAGUCGCAAACUUUAACCCAAAAAAUUAAAAUCAGAACAAGAAUCACAACCUUAAUAGUCAGUUUAACGAAAACCCAAGAAAACCCUAACCCUAAUUGACUCAACAGUCCAAAUUAGCGAUUGUAUUACGUUAAAAUUUGGGAGGUUAAUGAAAGAAAGAAAAUGUAAAACCGGUUGUUAACAGAUGAAGAUGAAAAGUAUUUGAUAUUAGUGAGAUUGUGAGGGGAUGAAGGUUAAGAAUGUGAAUGAAGGGGUUGUGGAAGUUUUGAUUUUGUAUGUGGUCAGAGGCGGUGGUUUUAUUUUAGAGGAUUUAAAGAGGGUUGGGGGGUAGACUGUGACUUGAGAGAGAGAUUGAGAGAGAGAUGGAGGGGGUGGGUAAAUAUUAAAGCUUUGUUCUAAAUUUUAAUUUAAUUAAAUUGGUAAAAAGACUAAACUACCCUUAUAUGAUAGGAUUUAGCUGAAAAUUUUAACCAAGUUAAUGGUAAAGGAUGUAGGGUGUAAUGAAUUUUCCAAAUAAAGGAUCGUGACUGUAAUUAUUGAAGUUAAAUGCUAUUCAUUGCAAUCUGAUACAAACAUAAAGGACGAAAAGUGUAAUUUACCCAUUUAUUUAUUUACUAUAAUAACAAAAACCAUGGCAGGGAACCGUGUUUCCCUGCCAUUGGUUAAAAUGGGCGUCAGCCAAUAGUGUCAGGCAGGUCCAGCAAAAGUACGAUUUUGCCUUGUUUAAAUUUACAGUUUUGCCAUUAGUUUUGUUUUUGUCUCUCCCAGCUAAAUUGCAAUUCUGCCCUCAGUUUAAAUUUACAGUUUUGUCAUCAUUUUUGUUUUUUCUCCCCGUCAAAUUACGAUUUUGCCCCCGGUGUAAAAUUACGGUCAUGCGAUCGUUUUAGUUUUUUUUUUUUUUUUGACAAAACUAUGGUAGUGUUUUGUUUUAAUUGGUUGACUAGGUGUAAUUUUUAUUCGUGCCAGACGGCUGCAUGACACACGCUCAUUUGUCUUGAAAAAAUACAUUUUUCCCUCAGUAAAAUUAUAGUAUUUCCAUCGUUUUAGUUUUUUUUAGCAAAAGUAUGGUAGUUUUUGUUUUAAUUUGUUGACUUGAUGUAAUUUUUUUAUAUCAUGUUAUAAGUAGUAUGUACAAGUAAUCGAAACAUAGACGUACAUGUUACGAGAGAGAAAUAUUCGACUUAGUGCCCCUCAACACGGGCGGGGCAAAAACUAGUUACGUACAAUAACAACAAUCACAUGUCUAGAGAUGCCUACAGUCAAAUCAACAUCAGGAUCUAUUAUAUCAAUCUCGUGUUUGAUCAAUACACCACUAUGAACACAGACGGUUCAAUUCGGGUGUAGCGUCAAGUAAUUCUUUUUUCUACUUGAGGAGCAAGUUCUCGGUUAUGAGCCAACAUAACGCCUAGCGGGUUUCUCGCCUAUCAUGUCAUGAAACAAUCUAAUAAAUACGUUGCAGAUUAUUCGAAACACAUCUAGCGACAAGUCUUACCAUCAAGAAGCAUAAAUGUAAUCGUUUUUGUGAUUUCAACAUAUUGGAAUGCCAAAAGCUUAGAGUUUUCCUAGUUCUUGAUUCAUGGCCAAUCACCAGCUCCAGUACAACUCUUUAAAUAUCAUUACAAGAUAACCAUUUUUUACUUUUAGUUGUUCAUAUCAAAUUUGCUACUUUC